rnacentral:snRNA from 1 species
GGGAAGUGGUCUUGGAGC